rnacentral:rRNA from 1 species
UAGGGAAUCUUCCACAAUGGACGCAAGUCUGAUGGAGCAACGCCGCGUGAGUGAAGAAGGUUUUCGGACCGUAAAGCUCUGUUGUUGGUGAAGAAGGAUAGAGGUAGUAACUGGCCUUUAUUUGACGGUAAUCAACCAGAAAGUCACGGCUAACUACGUGCCAGCAGCCGCGGUAAUACGUAGGUGGCAAGCGUUGUCCGGAUUUAUUGGGCGUAAAGCGAGCGCAGGCGGAAGAAUAAGUCUGAUGUGAAAGCCCUCGGCUUAACCGAGGAAUUGCAUCGGAAACUGUUUUCUUGGUGCAGAAGAGGAGAGUAGAACUCCAUGUGUAGCGGUGGAAUGCGUAGAUAUAUGGAAGAAUACCAGUGGCGAAGGCGGCUCUCUGGUCUGCAACUGACGCUGAGGCUCGAAAGCAUGGGUAGCGAACAGGAUUAGAUACCCUGGUAGUCCAUGCCGUAAACGAUGAGUGCUAAGUGUUGGGAGGCUUCCGCCUCUCAGUGCUGCAGCUAACGCAUUAAGCACUCCGCCUGGGGGAGUACGACCGCAAGGUUG